CCCAGUCUCUGAUAACCACAGUUUUGUUUUCCCAAGCUCAGCCCUUGCAGUGUACACACAGACCCAAGGACAUGUAUGUGGUCCAUGCCUUUCUACGCAGGCUCCAACGUCUUCUCUGCAGCUCUUGUGAUUUUAAUCCUUCAUUUAAAGGAGCAUUGAGCUGUACUGUAAAAUGAGAUACUUAGUUUUUAUGGUUUGUAUAACUUAGACAAAGCAUUACAAUUCUAAUUUUAAAUCGAUUCUGUAUUCUAAUUUUUCAAGCUCUUGCGACAGCAAUACUAAAGAAAGUUGCUUAGAUUGGAGCUCAUGGUGUAAACCUUUGGCUUAAAUGUAUAACUGAUUUCCUCUGUCUGUUGAGCAUACACCAGUUUUACUUGAGCGUAUGAAGGACCUAAGAGAAUGGAGCAUGCGUGGAAGAUUUCAUCGCCAUCACUCUUUUUUACAGGCCUGAUCAACCCCGAGUAACCAAAGAUGUCAUUUGUUUUCACGCAGAAGAUUUCUUAGAAGUAGUUCAACGAAUGCAAUUAGAUUUACACGAACCUCCACUGUCCCAGUGUGUACAGUGGGUUGACGAUGCAAAACUUAAUCAGCUGAGGAGAGAAGGCAUUCGCUAUGCCAGGAUUCAGCUAUAUGAUAAUGACAUUUAUUUUAUUCCACGGAAUGUUGUCCAUCAAUUCAAGACAGUUUCGGCUGUAUGCAGUUUGGCAUGGCACGUUCGACUUAAAUUAUAUCACGCAGAGGACACUUGUC
rnacentral:lncRNA from 1 species